rnacentral:rRNA from 1 species
GACGAACGCUGGCGGCGUGCUUAACACAUGCAAGUCGAACGGAAAGGCCCUGCUUUUGUGGGGUGCUCGAGUGGCGAACGGGUGAGUAACACGUGAGUAACCUGCCCUUGACUUUGGGAUAACUUCAGGAAACUGGGGCUAAUACCGGAUAGGAGCUCCUGCUGCAUGGUGGGGGUUGGAAAGUUUCGGCGGUUGGGGAUGGACUCGCGGCUUAUCAGCUUGAUGUUGGGGUAGUGGCUUACCAAGGCUUUGACGGGUAGCCGGCCUGAGAGGGUGACCGGCCACAUUGGGACUGAGAUACGGCCCAGACUCCUACGGGAGGCAGCAGUGGGGAAUAUUGCACAAUGGGCGGAAGCCUGAUGCAGCAACGCCGCGUGCGGGAUGACGGCCUUCGGGUUGUAAACCGCUUUCGCCUGUGACGAAGCGUGAGUGACGGUAAUGGGUAAAGAAGCACCGGCUAACUACGUG